UCUUUGUUUCUUCAGCUUUUUUUUUGAAGAAAAUAUUUUUUUAUUUUCUUCUAAUUUUUUCACAAAAUAAAUAUUGGGUAGUCAUUUAUUGUAUUGGGCAUAAGACAUUUUAUGAUUAUUCACCAAAUUUAUUUGAUAUUGUUUACAAAAUUUCUUAACAGGUUAUUAAUAAAAAUGUCGAUGUGAGAAGGAAGAGAAAGUUGGUUUUGCCUACAGCAAAUAAGUUGAUCUUUCGCAUAUCUUCUUAACUUUUGGACUAUCCGUGCCGCCGAGCCGCCGCCGCCAUUUGUACCGAAAAUCUACGCCGCCGCCGACACUCUUUCUCCAAAUCUUGUACGCUCUGCUCGUCAUCGCCGGCAUCACUCUAGACAUGGCAGGCGUGGCAGUGGUAGAUCCUAACUUAGCUCAAGUUGAUGAACCGUUUAUUGGAGGUAUGUUUUUCAUGAGUUUAUUGCAUUUACUAAAUGCAAUAUACUCAUUUUCAUAAUCUAUUUUUUCUUUUCCUUUUUUUUUUUCCUAAAUAAAUUGGGAACAACAAACAAAUUUUCUUUCUUUUGUAGGGUCUAAUGUUACCAAAAAAAUCGUAGACCUUAUAGAUAAGUUAGAUAAGGAUAGUGUUGCGAUAAUGAAAGAAGACACUGAUCUUGGGAAAGAAUUAAGUGAUGUUGUAUCUUCUAUUAGUACGAAUUUAAGUGUCUGCAUCGCCAUAUCAAUGGCUGCAACUAAUCUAGCUAAGGGGCACAAAGAGUCUUCACAUUUUUAUUAGGGUAAAUAGCAUUAAACCACCUGAACUUUUUAGGUUUUUGCACAUCACCACCUGAACAAAAUUUUUUUGCAGGAGUUCAUCUGUACUUAAUUAAUUGUGCCACAUUGCCCUUUUUUACCUGUUUGCAGGUCAAAAUGACCUGUUCUCACCGCACGUGCGUUUCACAUGACAAAUACAAGGCUAUUGAUGUCUUUUCACUUCCUAAAAUACUCAGCUCUAAUUCCUGUUGAAAUUCACACACUCUCACACAUUUCAUUCCAUCCACUCUUUAUCGUUUUCUAGGGAAAAUGAAAUCAAAGUAAUUCCAAAUUACAAAAGUCACAAGUGUGUUUGGUUCAGAAGAAAAUGAAUCAAAGUAAUUCCAAUUUCUUUAGUUCGAUUUGGUAUUCAGACGAAAAUUAGAAGAUAAAUUAUUGUUGGAUAAUUUUUUAUAAAAUAAUAAAACCAAAAAAAAAAAGCACUUUCAGACCCAACCCCCUACCAAAACCCACCCAUACCCACCCAAAACUAAAACUGAAACGGCGUCGUAUCUAGGGGAUGGACUUGCCGUUAAAUUCAAGUCCUGAAGGGGCAGAAUUGGGUGAAGCAGUGUGGGGAUGGUGAUUAGAGAAACGAUAGGCUUAUUACCUUCGUGUUUGAUUUUCUCCGGUGCGACGGUGGUUGGGUUGGUGGUUGUUGUUGUAGCAGCCACAUGCUAAUUCUUUUUCGGUUCCUCCUUUGGAGUGAGGCAGCGCCAGCUGGGGGCGGCGAUUGGGGACUACCACCGGCGGUGGUUGGGGUGACGGUUUUUACAGCCGCCGCCGCCGCCGCCGCAUGCUAAUCUCUUUUGUUGGUUCCUCCUGUGGAGUGAGGCGGCAUCGGCAGAGGUGGCGAUGGGUAACUAGCACAACCAAAAAAAGAAUAAGAAGAGAGGAAGUACAGGGGAAUAUAAUAAUGGAGGGAAGGGGAGAAUGAUAGACAAAUUAGAGAAAUGAGAAAAAUGAAUGAUAAAUAAUGGGAAUAACGGUGAAAUUGAGGGAGAAUAGAAGCAAUUGGGGUUUUUUUUAAUGGAAAAGCCAAUAAUACCCUUGGAUUUCGCAUGUGCAAAGCGCGUUUGUCAAGAACCGGUCAUUAUGACCUGAAAACCACCGGCAAAAAAUGGCAAAGCGGCACAAUUAAUUGAGUACAGGUGAACUCGUGCAAAAAAAUAUUGUUCAGGUGGUGAACCGCAAAAACUUAAAAAAUUUAGGUGGUUUAAUGCUAUUUACCCUUUUUAUUAUGCCUACUUGGCUCUGAUUUCUCUAGCCAUCAUUUUAAGUUUCUUAUAUUCGGCCGCUUAUAAGCGAGUUGAUCGUGAGGAAAUGGAGAAAAGAGGGAGAAAUAUUAAUCGUAGGAAGCUGUUAUUGCAAGAUAUGGCAAAGAUUAUUAGGUUGCAGUUACAACCACUAGGCACUACGGAACCACUGUAUUGGAAUUGCUUGGAAAGAGUAAAUCAUGUCAUUAGUACUCUAGACAAAAAUGAGCAUAGGAAAUUGAAUGGGUGGUGGUAUUUGCCAUCUUGCAUGCCUCAAAUCAUUUUCAUCAUCUCUACUGCUGGUCUUGUGUGCUUGGCAUUGUCGUCAACAAAAGCCCCGAACGAAAGUACUUUGGCUCCGGCUCCAGCUCUUGCUCCGGCUCCGAGUGGAUGAACAUGAUGUGGUGUCAAGAUAUUACUAGGCUGUUGGUGUAUCAUCUAUGAGGGUACAAUGUUGAUCAGCCUCGAAAUCUUGCAAAAAAUGUGACAACUCAACGAUGAAUGAAACAGAGCUGCUCGUGUAAUCCUUUUUGGCUGUUCUUCUAUCGGAUUUUUAUUUUAUUUUUUCCAUCUUUUUUUUUUCGAGGAAAUGAGUUUAGGAGUGUGACAAAUGGCUGUCUUUCUACUGAAUUUUGCCUGCACAAACAGAUAAACUAAUCUCGGUAGACAGAUUAGAUGACUAACUGUUGUGAAGUAACAUUGUCUGAAACUAUAAUAGGCUAUAUAUUUGUUGUUAAAUAUAUAAGUACAUAUUUAGUUUAAAAGUAUUUUAUAUAUUAAAAAAAAUGUUGUACAAAAAGUCAAUUGGUUGGUUAUUAUUGACCAGUCGAUCUUUCAAGAGUUUAGUAAUUACGAAUUAAAAUAAUAAUUCCAACUUCAAAUGGUCAAUGAAUACUCGACUAUCGACUAUAAUUUUUUGCUCCACCAUAGACAGACAAUUGUGUAAAACAUACUAUGGAAAUCUAUAUAUAAUAAUAUAUACAAGUUUU